UUGUGCUUGCUACAACAAUAUAUAUACUAAACAAUUGGAACGAUACAGAAAAGAUUAGCAUGGACCCUGUGCAAGGAUGACAGUAGCUGUAAAUUAUACUUAAUUAUA